UAACUAAUCGACAGACGGAAACUACAUUAUUAUGCGAACUUUCGCCAAGGGAUUACGAGGAUUCGGCGACAGGUGGCAGCACAUGCAUCGAAAAUGGCUCUUUCGUGAGCGCCAUUUCGAAAAGUGUAUGCCUAUAACCUUUGUAUACGCACGAUCCACAGAUCCGUAUAUGUUCCUAAGCAGAGCACCGAAUUCUGUCUAUUUAUAGAUUUUCGCCUACUAACGAUUUUUCAUCUCCUCGUGCUCUCGAUAAGCGACGCGCAGGAAUAAAGCGCGUCCUCGAAAAUGCAGCGUUGCAGUGAAAAUUCGCGAAGACGCGAUGCUAAUUAACAGCUCGAGAGAUUAUGCUUUCCUUCUGUUGCGAAGAGAGUGAAAUUUCAAUUAUAAAAUAUCGACCGUUUGAACGAAAGCGAGAUCUGCUAAAUCCGCGAAAUCGCUUCUGUUAUUGCAUAACGACCGGCGACACAUCAUUAUUGUUAACGACGCCGUCAGACGCUGAGUAGAAAGAGAGAAGGGAGAGUGGGACAAAAAGAGAGAAAAUUCUAUUAUUCUUUCCGUUUGCAGACAAGACGAAGAAAAACAGGAAGACAUGAUCGUGCAUGAUCCUCGCAUGUUGCAGCCAACCAUCCAUUGAGCGAAUUAAUGCUUAUUUCUAAAGAACUUCCGCAAGAUCAAACCGCAAACGUACAUGACAUGUUGUUUCUGCCGAUUCGGCGCAUCGGCCAUCUAUAAUUUGCAAGUCCGUUCAUUUCGGCUACGCUCUCUUCUGCUUUUCGCCGUUACAGCGAGGCGGACGUUAUUCUCUUCGUCCAGGAAAAGAUAAAAGCGCCGAGGAAUGUAGAAAGUAUCAUUAGCGAAAAUAGACGGAUAGAUAAACCGAGGCAGAAAUCGCAAUCAACAGAGAUGAUAAUUACGUCAAGAGAAGCGCUUCAGCGUAACGGCCGGCCACGUAUCAAAGGAUAAGUCCUGUUCAUUCGCAAUUAAAAGUGAUCGUCCUGCAAACAAGUGAAUUGGACAAUUAAUUUGGCGUAAACACACGGUAGGUGUAUGCACAGACCGAUUGAUAUUUCCGAUGUUUUUGGAAGGACAAAUAUAUAAUUGACGUUACGUAAAUCACACUCAUGGUUUUCGUAACGAUUU